rnacentral:misc_RNA from 1 species
GAUGAAGAACGUAGCGAAAUGCGAUAAGUACUGUGAAUUGCAGAAUUCAGUGAAUCAUCGAAUCUUUGAACGCACAUUGCGCCCGCCAGUAUUCUGGCGGGCAUGCCUGUUCGAGCGUCAUUACAACCCUCAGGCCCCCGGGCCUGGCGUUGGGGAUCGGCGGAGCCCCCCGUGGGCACACGCCGUCCCCCAAAUGCAGUGGCGGUCCCGCCGCAGCUUCCAUCGCGUAGUAGCUAACACCUCGCGACUGGAGAGCGGCGCGGCCACGCCGUAAAACACCCAACUCUUCUGAAGUUGACCUCGAAUCAGGUAGGAAUACCCGCUGAACUUAAGCAUAUCAAUAAGCGGAGGA